ACACACACACAGGUGUCAGACAGGUGUCCCAGGUGUGUCCCAGGUGUCACACAGGUGUCACACACAGGUGUCACCCCCCCUCACAGCUUCCUGGCCGCGGGGGGUUACGUCCUGUACCCCCAAAUCGGGGACCGCCUGGACCUGGUGUCACACACACACACACAGGUGUGUCCCCAGGUGUCCCCAGGUGUGUCCCCAGGUGUGUCACACACACACAGGUGUCCC